UGUGCAAAACUAUGCAAAACUGA
rnacentral:miRNA from 1 species